GCCCAGAUAGCUCAGUCGGUAGAGCAAAGGACUGAAAAUCCUUGUGUCGCUGGUUCGAUUCCGGCCCUGGGCA
rfam:Clostridiales bacterium GWD2_32_19 gwd2_scaffold_5829, whole genome shotgun sequence.